AAUAAUUCACCCAACUUAAAAAUAAAAUAAAAAUAAAAUAAAAAUAAAAAUUCAAGGCUUAUGAAGUAUCACUAUUUGAUAUUCCAUCUCAAACCGUUUCCUUGAGAAGAUGACAUAAUCAUGCAAUUAGUAGUUAAAAUGGAGUAAGCCCCUUGCAUUUCUCACCUCCAAACUUGUAAUGGUUAAAACCGUCGUCCUCUUCUCAUCUGCCGCAGUACUUUAAACAGGUCUGAAGUUGCAUCAGCAUCAUAUCUGUCUCCUUCCUCAUUCUUUUUCCUUGAUUUAUUGAUGAAAUUUAUAUAACUGGAUGAGAUGGGGAGAACACCCUGUUGUGAUAAAUUGAAUGGGAAGAAGGGGCUUUGGACUGCAGAGGAGGAUGCAAAGAUGAUUGCUUGUGUGUCUGAACAUGGAACAAGUAACUGGACAUUAGCACCAAAGAAAGCAGGUCUAAAAAGAUGUGCAAAGAGCUGAAGGCUUCGGUGGCCUAAUUACCUGAGGCCUGAUCUCAAGCAUGAUAGAUUCACUUCCGAAGAAGAGAUGUUGAUUAUUAACCUUCAUGCAGCCAUAGGGAGGAGGUGGAUUGCUUAAAUCUUAAUAUGGGUUCUUAAAAUAAUUUACUUAAUAUAUAUAUAUAUAUAUAUUCUUGUACCUUCCUCCAUGAAGAAAGUAGAAUAAUUUGAUUGAGAUUCUUUUACUUGUUUUCUAGAAUCUCAUUUACUGAAAGGAAGGAUAUAUCUUGCUGCUACCUUCAAGUCUCCUCUGCUACUACGUUUUCUUCCAAGUUCAUGACAGAAACUUCCCACUGAACUCUUUUGAAGUAUGCCGGAUAGCGUGAAUGGUUGAUACUUCGCACCAACAUAUAUUUCCUCCUUAUUAAACAUGCCAUUUGGGAAGCAGGAGAAUUUUGUGUCACCCAUGACCUAGCUGAUCAUAACAAACUCAACUUUCUAUGAUAUAGAGGAAUACAGGACUGAAUAACCUUUUUCUGUUACUAAUGCUAGGAUACAACUACCCCUCUGUGUCUAACAGAAUUUCCACGACUUAUUUGGUGCAGGUGGUCUCAAAUAGCAGCCCAUUUGCCAGGAAGAACUGACAAUGAUGUCAAGAACUACCGGAACACGAAGCUGAAGAAGAAACUCUUGGAAAUGGGAAUAGAUCCUGUGACCCACAAACCUUUCAACCAGAUCCUCACUGAAUAUGAUAAUAUUGCUCAUCUCCUAAAAGCUAUAACCCAAAUUGGUUCCUUUGAUAGAGACUUAAGAAAUACAUUCAUGUCAAAAUCAGAAGUAUCUUCAGUCCUAGAGGAAAGUGUUUCAAGUCUUAUGAGCCAUUCAACGGUGGCAAUAAGGACCCCAAUGAUGGAAUCAGUUCAAAAUGGCCACUAAAUCGGCGAAAGAAGUAACAAUAACUACUCAUGGGACCUUCAAGAUCAGUUUCAGGCCAUGAGACUAGUUAAAGAAGUCACAAGCUGCACCAACGAAGAAACCAUCCAUCCACAUUUCUUCUUCGGUGAAGGCUCUUCAUCAUCAUCUUCCACUGCUACUGCCAUGCAGGUGAACUGGCCACUACCCUUUGCUUGCAAAGAACCUCUCUGCUUCAGACUACACCAGACCCUCCAUUCAGUUGGAAUGAAUUCUUAUUAAAAGACCCCUUUCUUCCUCCUGAUCAACAACAGAGGCAGGAACAACCAGACUUUCAAGGAAUGUCAACCGGCUCAUCAAGCAAAACACAAGUAAAAGAUGAGAUACAAACAUGCAACUUAAUGGAUGAUGGUGGUAAAAAUGUUAGUGUAGAACAAGUGGGUUAUGACUCAUUCAACAACAAAGGUGAAAGUUAUCCAGGAAAAGUUGGAGGUGAAUCCAGAAAUAUCUUCAACGGCUCUUUGUCUUUCAAUAAUUCCUUUAUGGAGGCGAUAUUCAACCAAGACAGUCAGAUUUCAUGGGAGUUUCCUUACAAUUUUGGGGAACCAUUGUACUGAAUUCUGUAUUUCAAGUAAAUUGUAAAACUGAGCCUUUGUAGAGUGA